CUACGGGCGGCAGCAGUGAGGAAUUUUGCGCAAUGGGGGGAACCCUGACGCAGCAACGCCGCGUGAGUGAUGAAGGCUUUCGGGUCGUAAAGCUCUGUCAAGUGGGAAGAACCUAUGCAGUGUUAAUAUCACUGUAUACUGACGGUACCACUGAAGGAAGCACCGGCUAACUCCGUGCCAGCAGCCGCGGUAAUACGGGGGGUGCAAGCGUUAUUCGGAAUCAUUGGGCGUAAAGGGCACGUAGGCGGCUUGGUAAGUCAGAUGUGAAAGCCCGGGGCUUAACCCCGGAAGUGCAUUUGAUACUGUCAGGCCUGAGUAUGGGAGAGGGAAGUGGAAUUCCUGGUGUAGAGGUGAAAUUCGUAGAUAUCAGGAGGAACACCGGUGGCGAAGGCGACUUCCUGGACCAAUACUGACGCUGAGGUGCGAAGGCGUGGGUAGCAAACAGGAUUAGAUACCCCCGUAGUC
rnacentral:rRNA from 1 species